ensembl:lncRNA LINC02180 long intergenic non-protein coding RNA 2180
UUGCCCUCUUGAAGGUCUUGAACACUGCUGGAAGCCUACUAGAUAUUUAAUGUAAUCACCAUGAUAAUGGCUAAGAUUUAUUAAGCAUCUGCUAUGUGCUUUAUGGUGCUAAGAACUUCUCAUGUAUUUACUCAUUGAAUCUUCACAAAAACCUUAUGAACAUCAGAGCUGAUGAAUACUCAGUCAGAAGAAAUGCAGGCCUGCAGGUUUGUCCACAAAGUGUUCCCAUCAACCGUGUGGAGGAGUUCAGCUAUUACCUUGACUUUGCCGAAGUCCUAGGCACUCCCAUGCCCUCAGAGUCUCAUUUUGAAUCCAGGCACUUAGGGAUGCUAUUUUUCCACAUCAAACAGCUUCCUCCCAGCCAAAGAAUUCUGGUGACAGUAGUGAAGAUAAUUUUCACUCCUGCUUACAGAAUGACAAAGCAAAAGCAAAGAGGAGAAGAAUGAAGUAAAGACAACCAAAGGAAAAGACUGAUGGCUCCUUAAGAAUGAUCUUGAUAAAGGAAUGGUGGCUGAGGGGUCCAUCUCCUAAACCACCCACCUUACUGACUCCCUAGAGCAAUGCCAUACAGAAAGCUGCACCUUGAGGGGAAGACACAAGAAUCCUGGAGUGGAAAAAAAUUGGGUAAUGAUGACAGCCUUCGAGGUCUUGAGAGUAAAGCAGAAGCAAAAAAAAAGUGUUAUUUUUAUCUUUUGAAGAUGGUUCCCUCUUAAGACUUUUGCGAAUGAUUAAGAUUUCAAUUAUGUUCCAGGAAAAAAAUAAGAUUUUUGCUUGACAAAAAAAAUUUUUGUCUAGAACAGGUGGGAAGGAAGAGAUAGUUUAGCCACAUCCAAGAGACCUGUAAAUUGGGUACAGUGAAGUGAAUGGUGUACCAGUCAUAAAAGAAUGUUAACUGGAGAAGUCUCUGCUGUCUUCCUGUAACUGAGGGGGGUGUAACCAUCCUUGUGGAAGCGUCCACUUUUAUUGAAGAUUGGCUAAAUAAAUCUGUGCCUACUGAAACUCAA